rnacentral:ncRNA from 1 species
UUCACGGGGUUUAUCCGUGAUUGCCCCGUGAGGCUACGGCUGAAAGAUCGCGUCCCAGGCCGACAAGGGGACGCCAUG